GAGACAGAGUAACUGAAAGGUAAAGUAGAGUUAGAGAGAGGUUCCCAACAAGUAGGUGGGGACCAGGGGCUUGAAUGCAGGCUCUUGAACAUUAUAACCAGUUUUUUUUUUUUUUAGACACAACUGGAGAAAAAAAUGGAGGUUUCCUAAAGAAGAAAAAAAUUCAGCUUCCAAGACUGCAACAGAGAAGCCAUGCCUAUGUUUCCAGCUUGCAGAUGUCAAGCACAUGACAGCAAUAGCAGCACUUCGAAGAAUUUCCACCCUGCAGGCCUGCUCUGGUCCUGAGUUUUGGUUAUGGCUGGUUGCAUAACAUACUGAUGUCGGUCCUGAGAGUUAAACUGGUUCACACUGACAAGGACAUUGCACAAAUAUUCCCAGUUACUGACUAGAAAAAUACCACCGGGUUCCAGAGCUAGCAUGAUGCCGACCAGAUUUCCCUGGACAGAUGACCCCACCAAUGUGUCCUGGAGCUCUAAUUCACCAGAGCCCUGUCCCACUAGGGAAAGAGAGAGAUAGGCUGGGAGUAUAGAUUGACCUGUCAACGCCCAUGUUCAGUGGGGAAGCAAUUAUAGAAGCCAGACCUUCAACCUUCUGCAUCCCACAAUGACCUUGGGUCCAUACUCCCAGAGGGAUAAAGAAUAGGAAAACUAUCAGGGGAGGGGAUGGGAUAUGGAGAUCUGGUGGUGGGAAUUGUGAGGAGUUGUAUCACUCUUAUUCUAUGGUUUUGAUAAUAUCUCCUUUUUAAAAUUAUUUUUUUAAUUAAAAAAAGAAAGAAAAUAAAAGUCAACCCCAAAUUAAUUGAGCUCUUCAGUUAUUAGCACUGGGGUAAUUUCUGGUGUGUCUCCCUCUCUGUAUCUGAAAUAAAAAGUAUGAAAAAGUUGGCUCAGAAGCACUGAAAUUGCAUCUGCUCCCCCCCAAAACAAACAAACAAACAAAAAACAAUU